UGAAGGUUUGAUUAUCACACAAAGAUGCCUU
rnacentral:piRNA from 1 species